UAAUUGGAUUCCAGCGGCCUUGACGUUUUCUUCGAGAUGAUCUACUUUGCUAGUACCAGGAAUAGGUAGCAUAACCGGACUGCGUUGUAAAACCCAACUCAAAGCUAUUUGACUAGUGGAACGAUCAAGGUCUUUUGAAACAGCGUCCAGGAUGGUUCCGGGUUUGGCUAAUGCUCCUGAAGCUAAGGGAUACCAAGGAAUAAACGCAAUUCCCUUCUGUUCACAAUAUUCUAACACUUUCUCAUUCUUACGAUUGACAAGGUUGAAUAAGUUCUGAACACUAACUACCGGAAAAUACUGUUCAGCUUCUUUGAUAUCGUCUACUGUAACCUCACUCAAUCCAACAUGGCGAAUCAAUCCUUCUUUCUUCAUAGCUGCAAUUUCAGAAAAUUGGUCUUUGCGAGGAACCUUGGGAUCGAUGCGAUGUAGUUGCCAGAGGUCAAUUUGCUUAACUCCAAGUCGACGCAUGCUCAUAAGUACUUCUUGACGUAAAAAUUUGGGUGCUCCACAAGGAUGCCAUUCAUUUGGACCUGUACGAACAAGGCCACCCUUGGUAGCAAUUAUAAGUCCUUUGUAAGGGUAUAAAGCUUCUCGUAAAAGAUUCUCGCUGACCUCAGGGCCGUAAGAAUCGGCGGUAUCAAUAAAGUUAAUAUUGAGUUCAGGCAAACGUUUUAAAGUUGCGAUGCAAGCCUCUUUGUCUUUGGGUUCAUCCCAUAUACCAUCACCGGUAACUCUCAUUGCUCCGAAUCCCAUUCUAUUGACAACCAUGUCGCCAACCUUGACAGUCCCAGCUUGUGAAGCAUCUACGGCGGAAGAAGCUGCAGUUUUACUCAUUUUUGUGUCUUUUGUCGCUUUUCUUAGAAAUCAAGAUCAAGUACUAUAGUGGAUCCGGUAAGUGUGGGAUGUCAGACGCCGUUUCCUUUUAUAGUAAUUUUACAUGGUGUAUUCCUUACAUAAGCUGGAUUGAUGCGGACUAUCUUAAACCACGAAAACUGAUUUAUUACAUACCCUAUUUACAGAAUCCAGUGGUAUGAUGUAAGAGCGCGUUAGACAAUAUAUUGUCAUAACGAUGACUAAUACUAUUAUAGUACGAUAUUGCUGGUUGGAUUUUGAAUUAGAGUAAAUAGCUAAGUCCUUUUUGAUUUGGCUCUUAUUCAAUUUAAUGAUAAUUUUAUGGUUCCAAAAUCUGAUGCUGGAUGAAUUGUCUAAACUGUAUCUCUGUCUUCUUUUGCCAGCCCAUUUUUAUUCAUGAGCAACGAUGGUCGCACAUAACGAUAAUGAUCUUUAUUGCUAUGUUUCUUUCUAUUCAAGAUAAUGUGGAUUUAUAUUUUCCAUCUUCUUGAAUUAUGCUUGAUCGUGCUAUCAAAUCGUACUACGAGUUAUCAUUUGGAGACCACAAAUGGGUUGACCAGUUCCGUAAAUCGAGGUAAACAUUGCACAUAAUAACAAUUCUAGGACUGUAUUUGAAAGGAAACACAUUUUUUGAAUUUAGUUGAUGAUGCCAGUAUAUUAUUAGUGUUAUUGACAUUCAGCAAUUUGUUGUGUGUUUUAUAAACACACUAAAUACUUUGUACAGUUGCAAAACUUGCGCUCUAAAAAUGUUUGCACCGCACUUUUACAAUGGCUAUUUACUCUUACUAUUGUCUUCGAAAAGCUUAUAAAUUUGGCUGCUAAACAUGGGUCGGUAGCUCAAAUCGUAGACAUAACCAGUCUUUUAAGGUCUCAAUUACACCCAUGUACGACUUUUAAGGAGGAAGUUGGUAAAUAAAAAAGUAUAUUUGGUUUUCAAUAAUUACGAUUCAUUCCUUUCUAUCAAAAUGAGACGAUGUCGUUCUUCGGCAACCUUAAAGAGUGUAGUGGAAGUUACUGAGCCGAUCAUAUCUCGUUUAGAGAGUAU